rnacentral:hammerhead_ribozyme from 1 species
AUCCAGCUGACGAAGUUCAAAUAGGACGAAACGCGCGUUCUGGAU